CAGGCUAGAUCUGCAGGACAAGAGUUUGCACCGCGUUCAUGCAGAACUGUGUUUCCUCUUCUGACCUGUCGCUCUUUGAGCUUUACAUCACCUCUCUGAAUUCUAAUUGCCUGGUGAAGGUCAGUGUGCCCAGUCUCAACUUUAACCAGGAUGUGCAACGGACUGCAGGUCAGGGCUUCACUGUGACUCUCCCCAAAACAAUUGAGCUGUCUGGCACCAGGAGGUCUUCAUUCAGGCAUCUGAUGACAUAACGGUUUCCUUGCUAAACUCAAAGCAGUUCACGGUGGAUACGUCCCUGGUCUACCCCAUGAACAAAAGGGGUACUGAAUAUUUUGUGUUCACCCCCACCAGCUCCCCUCCAUCCAUGCUGAAGGAGUCUGUUCCUUCGAGUGGUCCGGUUCAAAGGACAUUUGUACAGUGCUGGCAGUAAACAAGUUGUGGUUAUGGAUCCUUUUGAAAAUCCAUAAAUUCAAAGCCAAGGAGAUCUUACGGGAACACACAUACAUUCACAGCUUCACACUCAACCAAGAGUACAAAAUCCAGUUUCCAAAUGGUCUCAACAUUGUUGCUGACAAUGGAAUCCAGGUGUUUUUCUGUUUAAUGGUGUUCAAACAUCCCAUGGUGUCAUAUAUGACCCGUUUCUUAUAAAUGUUCUGCCCAACGACCAGUUUUGUUCUUCGUAUGCGCUUGAUGGGAUAGCUGGCUUUGACAUUCAAGCUCUUCUGAUUGUUUCUACCAAAGAACAAGCAGUGAUUCAUUUUGAUAGCUUGCCUUUACCUGGAAACCUUCAGUGGAGGGUCAUUAAAACUGUGAGUACUCUUAAGACUGAGCUGGUUUACCAACCUGGGGCAGGUGGGCACAAAUUAACCCAUCCAAAUGCUUCUUUUGGAGUCUAUAGUGUGGGAAAACAGCAAGUGAAUGGGUACGGAGCCCCAGCUGCAUGCAUUGAUCCAGUAGAAUUCCUAGCACGUCACUGUUGUAGUGAGGAUGAGGAGUGCCAGAUGAUGUGUGAAGAAACCUUUUGGAAUCUGUUGGACAACAGGUGGAUGGUUUGUGAUUUUAUCUUCUUUUGACCAUCAUGAUGGUUGAGUGAAGGUGAGACAGAGUUGCUAUGCUGGAAACUGACUUUGGUAUGCGUCUCUUUUAUCUGGGGCACGGAGUGCUGAUCUGCGUCUGACCAGUAGUUACUAUGAGCUGUGUGUGGCCUGUGUGGUAAUUUCAACGGUAACGGUGGAGAUGAGCUGAGAGACCCUGCUGGAAACCUUCUGCCCAGUCUGUACCAGAGGGCAAAGAGCUGGAGAGCAGAAGACAGUAUCACCUCAGUGUGUCAUGAUGCAUACGAGACCGACUGCUCUGCUUGCCCUCCUGAUCAACGUGCCCUCUACGAAACAGACAUUUCUGUGGUGUCCUGACAUAUAUAGGCCAGAAUGUGUUUAGUGCAUGUCAUGCUAAAGUGUACCCACAGGUGUUCCAGCAAAGCUGUGUGUACGAUCUCUUCUUCAAUUACGGAGACCGAAAACUUCUCUGUCAGGCUCUGGAGACAUACGUCCAACAGUGUCUUCAAGAGGGUGUCGUUAUUACAGAUUGGAGAGAAAGAUUUAAUUGAUCUAUGAGUUGCCCACCCAACAGUCAUUAUGAGGCCUGUCCGUCUUCGUGUCCAGCAACGUGUCCAUACCCAAAUCAGCAGCCGAAUUGCACUGAUACCUGUGUGGAAGCCUGUGAGUGUGACAGUAGAUUGUCCCACCAAUCAAUGUGGCUGCUUCUACGAAGGUGGCUACUGCCAGCAAGGCCAAACUUUCUUGGCAGAUGAGCAGUGCCAUUGGCUUUACGCAUGUGACAGUAACUUAAGUGCUUUGGUGUGUCGUUAUUCGUCCUGUGCUGUCUGUGAGAGCUGUACAGUUAAUGGAAGUCGCAGCUGCCAACCACUGAAUGCACUGUAUGCAUAGGCUCAUUAGACCCACAUUAUCACACAUUCGAACGAUUCCAUUUUGAGUUCCAGGGCACGUGUAUGUACCUGUUAGCAGCCCUGUGCAUUGAUAAUAUGAGUCUUGUACCUUUUAAUGUGACAGUGAUA